GGGCCGAUAGUUCAGCGGUAGAAUUCCUCCUUCGCAAGGAAGAGAUCCGAGUUCAAUUCUCGGUCGGUCCA
rnacentral:tRNA from 1 species